CACAAGGGUAUGGAGUCAAUACGACAAGUCUAUGGCAGAAGGGUAUGGAGUCAAUACGACAAGUCUAUGGCAGAAGGGUAUGGAGUCAAUACGACAAGUCUAUGGCGGAAGGGUAUGGAGUCAAUACGACAAGUCUAUGGCGGAAGGGGUAUGGAGUCAAUACGACAAGUCUAUGGCAGAAGGGUAUGGAGUCAAUACGACAAGUCUAUGGCGGAAGGGUAUGGAGUCAAUACGACAAGUCUAUGGUGGAAAGGGUAUGGAGUCAAUACGACAAGUCUAUGGCGGAAGGGUAUGGAGUCAAUACGACAAGUCUAUGGCGGAAGGGUAUGGAGUCAAUACGACAAGUCUAUGGCGGAAAGGGUAUGGAGUCAAUACGACAAGUCUAUGGCGGAAAGGGUAUGGAGUCAAUACGACAAGUCUAUGGCAGAAGGGGUAUGGAGUCAAUACGACAAGUCUAUGGCAGAAGGGUAUGGAGUCAAUACGGCAAGUCUAUGGCGGAAAGGGUAUGGAGUCAAUACGACAAGUCUAUGGCAGAAAGGGUAUGGAGUCAAUACGACAAGUCUAUGGCAGAAGGGUAUGGAGUCAAUACGACAAGUCUAUGGCAGAAGGGUAUGGAGUCAAUACGACAAGUCUAUGGCAGAAGGGUAUGGACACUACAUUAUAUCUACUGGGACACCACAAUACCUCUGUGAAUAUGUCAUGUGACCGUUUAGUCACGGUAACUAGGCUUCUCCAAAGCUCUGAUGCUGCCGAUUGGUCAUUAGUAGCCUAUCAAACUGGCUAACUACUCAGCACUCCAUUAUCCCUCUAAUCACUCUUGACAUCAAUGCAAAUGUUAUGGAAAAUCUACUCAAAACACU